UAAAGCCUCACUUGUGGUGGAGGAAACCAUGGUUACAAGUCUAAACAAUAUCCACAAAAAAUUGCUAGGCCACCUUCCAACAAUAUCCACAAAAGAAAACAAAAAAAAACUCCGUGUAUAUCAGCACUUUCUGAUGUAAGGUAGACCAGCUCUGUCAGUUCUUAACAAGCCUCUUAACAGGGGAGGCACCAACUCCGACUGACUCCAAGACAGCAUAGCAGCACCAUUAUUUGAUGCAAGCGAGCCAGGCAAUCUGCCGGAGCAUUUCUUGUCUAUAAAUGUGACAAAUAGUGAAGCAUUUUCCUCUUAGUAACCUCAUAAGUUCAUCCCAAUAAUCCUCAAAGUACCAGACAGGACACUUAGCCAGUUGGAGCCAAUUGACUACUAUCAUUGAAUCCAACUCAAUUUCCACGUUAUUCAGUCCGAGUUGGCAUAGGAGUCUCACCCCUAUAAGUUAGCUCAUAAACUCUACAUAAUUAUUUGUUCCAUUACCAAGAGGAAAGGAAAAGGCUUUUAUUAAAUUACCAUGAGGAUCCCGUAGUAAACCCCCUGCCCCUGCUAUGGUUGGGUUGCCUCUGCUACUUCCAUCAGUAUUUAAUUUAAUCCAGCCUUAUAUCUAUCAAAAAAAAAAUUUAAUCCAGCCUUGCUUCGGCCUACACCAGUAGACAGCCUUCAAUACUUGGUUGUGUCGGCCCCUUGAGUGAAUAUUCAAGUCAGCUAAUAUAGUCUCAUCUUGUGAAGACAGGCACUGCUUUACACAAUUUUUCUCACUUAACUUGGCAAGCUAGAAUUUUACUUUCCUCCAUGUCUCCUCCACCGAGUCCACUUUACCUUCCAUCCUAGCACAGCACCUAUGAGUCCAUAGCUGCCAUGUAACAACAGCCGGAAUAAUUCCAUUUAUAAAUCCAUGGGUAGACUUUUUUGAUGCUCUGUGAUACCAAAAGUUCACCGCUAAGAAUUUGUUUAUAUUCGAAUAACAAAGACAUUCUAAGGAACGACAUUGGGCAUACUGACGUAGAGCAAUACGAGCAUUCUAUUUCCAGGAAAGAAGAUUCCAAACUGAUUCAGCUUUCGAGAGGAGGCCCAUGCAUUCAACAUAUAAGCUUUGAUUGGACGGACUCAGACCGUUUAUUGUGGAUGGGAUGCUCUGGUGCCUUACAAUGAAGGGUAAACUUCAAGCUAGUCCCUAGCUAUUUUAGAUGAAAAAGAUCUUGGUGUAGCCCAUGCCCAAUAAAUCCUGAACUUUUGUCGACUUUUACUACUUAAUCAGUUCUAUGAGGAAACAAGAAUCUCUUUUAA